rnacentral:rRNA from 1 species
UGAGUAGGCGGUAAUGUAAGUCAGAUGUAAAAGGCACAGGCUUAACUUGUGUAAGCAUUUGAAACUGUAUUACUUGAGUGCAGGAGAGGUAAGUGGAAUUCCUAGUGUAGCGGUGAAAUGCGUAGAUAUUAGGAGGAACACCAGUGGCGAAGGCGACUUACUGGACUGUAACUGACGCUGAGUCACGAAAGUGUGGGUAGCAAACA